CCAAAUUAGUGGAAACAAAUACAAAUAACAAAAUUUUCGAAACAAAUAAAAAAAUAAAUCUUUGAAAAACAAAUAACAUAAAUUUCGAAUAAAAAAAUUAAUUUCCAAAAAAAAUAUUAUUUUCGAAACAAGAAAAAAAAAAUCUGCAAACAAAUCUAGGAUUAUUUUUACAACAAUAUUCAUAAAUUAGUGGAAAAAAAUAAAAAUAAUAAAAUUU
rnacentral:lncRNA from 1 species